rnacentral:rRNA from 1 species
AAUAUUACAUACAAUAGCGGAGGAAAAGAAACCAACAGGGAUUGCCCCAGUAACGGCGAGUGAAGCGGCACCAGCUCAAAUUUGAAAUCUGGGGCCCUCGGCCUCCGAGUUGUAAUUUGGAGAGGCAUCCUUCUGGGGGGAGCGCCGGCCCAUGUUCCUUGGAACAGGACGUCACAGAGGGUGAGAAUCCCGUGUCAGGCAGGCUGCCUCCUCCCGUGUGAAGGGCCUUCGACGAGUCGAGUUGUUUGGGAAUGCAGCUCCAAGUGGGUGGUAAAUUUCAUCUAAAGCUAAAUACCGGCGGGAGACCGAUAGCGCACAAGUAGAGUGAUCGAAAGAUGAAAAGCACUUUGAAAAUAGAGUCAAAAAGUACGUGAAAUUGUUGAAAGGGAAGCGCUUGAGACCAGACUCAGGCCCGGGCAAACACCGCGCCCCUUGGGGCCGUGCAAUUGCCCGGGGCUGGGCCAGCAUCAGUUGGUGUGGCGGGACAAAGGCGCAGGCAAUGUGGCUCCCCUCGAGGAGUGUUAUUAGGCCCGCGCUCAAUGCCGCCGACGUCGACUGAGGACCGCGCCUCGGCUAGGAUGCUGGCUCAAUGGCCUUCAGCGACCCGUCUUGAAACACGGACCAAGGAGUCUAACAUCUAUGCGAGUGUUUGGGCGUCAAACCCUUGCGCGUAAUGAAAGUGAGCGGAGGUGGGAACCCCUCGCGGGGCGCACCAUCGACCGAUCCUGAUGUCUUCGGAUGGAUUUGAGUAGGAGCAUAGCUGUUGGGACCCGAAAGAUGGUGAACUAUGCCUGAAUAGGGUGAAGCCAGAGGAAACUCUGGUGGAGGCUCGCAGCGGUUCUGACGUGCAAAUCGAUCGUCAAAUUUGGGUAUAGGGGCGAAAGACUAAC